rnacentral:rRNA from 1 species
GAUUGAUCCUGGCUCAGAUUGAACGCUGGCGGCAGGCCUAACACAUGCAAGUCGAGCGGUAACAGAAAGUAAGCUUGCUUACUUUGCUGACGAGCGGCGGACGGGUGAGUAAUGCCUAGGGAUCUGCCCAGUCGAGGGGGAUAACAGUUGGAAACGACUGCUAAUACCGCAUACGCCCUACGGGGGAAAGGAGGGGACCUUCGGGCCUUCCGCGAUUGGAUGAACCUAGGUGGGAUUAGCUAGUUGGUGAGGUAAUGGCUCACCAAGGCGACGAUCCCUAGCUGUUCUGAGAGGAUGAUCAGCCACACUGGGACUGAGACAC